AGAAUGACUCUCGGCAACGGAUAUCUAGGCUCUCGCAUCGAUGAAGAACGUAGCGAAAUGCGAUACUUGGUGUGAAUUGCAGAAUCCCGUGAACCAUCGAGUCUUUGAACGCAAGUUGCGCCCGAAGCCAUCAGGUUGAGGGCACGUCUGCCUGGGCGUCACAU
rnacentral:rRNA from 1 species